GAAGUGGCUGUUGAAUUAGAAAACGUUGAUAUUGAAGCUUGGGUGUUUAAUACUGAUGAAAUUUAAUGGCAAGACAUGUACACGAUGAAUCAAUGGUAAAAUUCUUUGAAGCAUAGUUGAUGUUUUGUAUUAAGAGGGGAGCUUGCUUUAAAGGCUUCAAAAAAUCUAUUUUUUUUUUACAUAAAUGUCUUCCCAAACUAUCCAAGAAUGUGUCCCUAAAAUUUCAGACGCAAAUUCCAAAUAUUUUCGGAGUUACAGAAGAAAUAGUGAGCAAGCAUCGAGCAGGUAUACGAGCGGCCGGAUUGCUCGGAGUACGUAUUAUAAUCCAAAGGGACUAACGGUCCUUCGAGACGCUAUUGACUGUUCGUAGAAGGUUAUUAUAGAGCUAUCGUAGGGAUAAAAGCAUAUAUUAUAACGGUAUAUAUGAACUGGCUGCGUCGGUUUGAGCAAAGCUACCAUAGCAUUUAGGUUCAGUUUCAAUUUGUCUUUCGGCACGUGAACAUCUUGAAAUCAUGCAGAGCUAUCCAAAAGUGCGCAAAUCUUCAAGUGAACGUACUGAAAAGCCACGGAAGCGCAGAUUAGCAUAUUAAUGCGAUGGAAAUUGCGACCUGCACCUUUCCCGCCGCACGACAAAUGCACACUCGAGACGCCUCGGUGAAAUGCUUGUACCAGGCAUAAUAUGACAUAUAUCUUAAUGAAAAAAUUUAAGAAGACUGCUGAAACAUAUAACAAUAAAACCUGAAAGUUUCGUUUCAAUCGGAUAUUUCUU